ACACUGGGAGUGCACAAGAAGUUGAGAGAGAACAUGGCUGGGACAGCUGACCCUAAAUGACCAAAGGAAUAUUUGAUACCAUAUGACAUUGUGCUCAGAUAUAAAAGCUGGGGAGACAAGGAGAAAGGGAGGCAUUCUCAGAGUAUUUGUCUUCCCAAAUAACUAUUAUAAUGUUGCAGCCCUGCUUUCCUGGAAAUGGCUGAACACCUGCCUGCUGAUAGGAGAUAGUCUUGUAAGUUACUGCUAAAACUCCUGUCUGUGCCGGUUUCAUGCUUGGAAAGUUUCAACUCCCUCUCUCUAAAAGACCACCAUCUUUCUUCCUCCAACUGUCAAAAUGAAUAAUGUAUAUCUGCUUCCAAACAAAGGCAGUAACUGAGUGGCACUUGUGAACCAACAUACUUGGAACUGCAGAACAACAGUAAAAGCUGAAGGAACCUGCUCCAGAAUUUGAAGUCUGAACACACAAUUUGUAUUUGUUGCCUGCAAUCACCUGUUCUCUGUGGUCUGGGACAGAGGAAGAUCAGAGAUUCUAAAUAUGCCUAGCGCAAUCACAGCGUGAAUCACAGAUUCAUAUCAGUUUGCUCUUUAUGUAUCUGAUUUACGUUUGAUCUCCAGAUCAACUACUAAGAUUGAAAUCUUACUGGGCUGAUAUUGUGUAGACUCUAAAGGAUCAAGGAAGUAAGAUAGUCUGCAACAGGCAGCCUGUUAUGAUUACCACUAGUACAGGCAGUCUCAAGUUCCAUGCUUUGAUCCUAGUGUGUUUCAAACUACUAUGAGGGAAGUAUAGACAUAAUCCUUUCUUAUUUGAGUUAGAAUGCUUUUAUAUGACCAUGUAAAUAUUUCCAUUGUAAUUCUCUACAAUAGAAGCAAGACAUGUGCAGCACGUUAGCUAGUUAGUGUGUGUUACAAUACGCAAAACUUGUGGACUGAGUAUGCCACACCGAAGAUUUGACCCAAUUGACAGCCUGCACCUAGAAUAGAAAUAUGCCUGAUGCACAAUUUACCCCCAUAAAGUCAGAGAACCAUCAAUUCUGUCUCUAAAUUUGAGUGAAUCACCCUAUCUCCCCAUAGCCAUUAGAUAGAAUUGGAAACACUCAGGAAGAUUUUCUUUCUGAUUAAUCUUGGAUACCUGUCAUUGGGUGGUAUGAAUUCCCUUUGGAGCUGUUUGCAAAGGGAUCUAGGAUGUCUAGCACAACCAUAGACCGAAGAUGCCUAUGCAAGUGCAAAUAAAUUCUGUUCCUGUGGCAAACUCCCCCCCCCCUACCCCAGCCCCAAUCAGAAUUAUUAAAAUAUUUAAACUUCCUCCAUGAAGUCUAUAUGGAGAUGGACAUAAUACUAUCCAAUAUCCUUUAAUUUUGAAAUGUCUUGAGAAAUAUUGUCUUCCUUUUCUAAAUUGUUAUUAUUCUUAUAGGAAUCCUGUGAUAUCAGUGAGUGGUAUGUCGCUAGAAAUAAGAAUAUCAAAUAAUUUAAUUCAUUUUUCUACCUAGUACAUUGGAAGUGAGACAGAUUCCUCUGGAAAAGAAAUCUGUCCAAAAAGUUUCAGAGUGAGAACAAUAUAAUAUAAUAUAAUAGCUGCUGAAUCUGCUUUCCUUUUUAUUUUUUUUUUCCUUGAACAGGCAAUAUAGGGAAAAUUGCUCAGCUAUAGAGUUAACUAGGAGUAAUCCCAAAUGGCAGGAAGAAGGGCACUUCAUAGUCACAUAAUCAACUGAAACAGCAUUUAGAAAGAACAGACAGCUGGCCCAGUCCAAAAAUCAGCAGCCAAGUGGGAGAGUUUGUCAUUCUGUAAAUGGCAAAAUAACAAACACCUGACCUGAAGAUAAUAGGUUAAUUGCUUUACUAUUACAUUUUGCAUUGAUGUUUGUUUUAAUGUUGUGAUGGAUGAAAAGAGGUCAUUUUUAAAAAAAAUACAGGCCUUCCAGAACUGCAAAUGUCUGACUAGUGGCCUAAUGAAAAACAUCUCUUAGGUGAUAAAAUGAGUUGCAUGCAAAUGACAAGUGGGCUUGAUGUGCCCUGAAAACAUUCAGCUUGGAAUGACCUGUGAUCAUAAAUUACUGGCAUGCUGCAUCAGAUCCUAGACUCGUAAUUUCAUCAAGAUCAACAAGAUGCAAUCUUGAAAACUGUUUGCAUGAUGUGAGGACGAAUUGAUGCCCUUGUCCUUCCAGACUGUUGGAUCGCAUGCUCAGGAGUCUGACUACUUUGUGUCUCUAAGUAGCAGUAUAAGGCCAUUGUAAAUAAUUAAAUAGAAAUUUGUUACCCUUUUGUCAAAUGUAUUUCUGAUGUUACUCUUCCUUCGCCUCCAUUAAGAAAUCCCUUGAUUAAAUUUUAAAGUCUUAAACAGUUUGAAGGGCUGAGAGCACAGGACACAAACUACAGCCUGAAUGUUUUGCACAGGAAAGUCAUAUUCUCUCUGGGAGCAAAGAAAAUAAUAUCAAGUAUUUAAUAAGCAAUCCCGUGAUCCUUUUUCAAGACAUGAUGGUAUAGAUUUAAUUACUAAAUCAGUGGCUGGUGCUUGUAGGUCAUUUAUUUUUUUAUCUAUUUGUUUUUAGAGAUUCUGAAUUUCU